UAGGGAGAGGAGGAGAUCCACUCAGAGGAGGGAGGGCCAUGCUCCUGCCAAGCCUCCACAAGUCACUGCUCCCUGGUAACCAGCAGGUGAAGAAAGGUCAGGGUUCAGGGGGAGCUGGGGUGUGUCCAUGAUGUAGAGGGUGAUAUAGGUAAGCAUUCUUCCUCAGCUUCCGGUGGUAGAGCAGGAUCUGGCCUGGCCUCUGGUGAUGCACAGCUUGAAUGAAGCAAAGCUCUGUACCAAGAGCACUGUGGCUCUAUAAGUGUCCCAUAGCCUCGGGCAUUUGACUACUUGGCCCCCAGUUGGUGGCCCUGUUUGGGGGAGUUUUAGGAGGUGCCUCCUUGCUGGAGUAAACAUGUCACUGGGGGGUGGGCUUUGAGAGUUUAAAAACUUGAAACGUUUCAAGCCUUUUCUCUCUGCUGCUUGUGGUUCACCAUGUGAGCCCUUGGCUUCCUGCUUGUGUGGUUGUGCCUGCCGCUUGCUGCCUUACUGUCCUGAGAUGAGGGAUUCGUACGCCUUUGGAACUGCAAGCCCAAUAAACUCCUUCUUCUACAAGCAUCCCUUUGUCACGGUGUUUUAUCACGGCAAUAGACAAGCAAUUUAGGCCAGGCAUGGGGACACAUGCCUUUAAUCCAAGCACUCAGGAGGCAGAGGCAGGUGUAUCUAUGACAAGGCCAGCCUGGUCUACAAAGCAAGUCCAGGACAGGGCAGAGAAAACAACAGCAGCAGCAGCAGCAGCAGCAACAACAACAACAAGGAAAGAAAAGAAAGGUUCAGCGUACCUGGUGAUGUAGAGGUCUUUGAUCCAGUUGGAGCUGACUUUUGAGGGUGCUGUACACAGUUGUUCCACACAUGGGAAGCAGGAGGCCGGAAGCCUCUGGACGAAGCCCGGAAAGCUUUUCAGGCUGGGAGCCUGAGUCCCUCCAGCCACCAGCUUCGGUGGGAACAGCAGCAGCUCCGACUGGCUUCUCCUUCAGCUCUGCAUUCUGGUUGGUUGUCUCUGCCCAUCAGCGGCCAGCUCCAGGCCUGGUCCCACCCCAUCUGCCGCACUGUCACCCGGGAUUGGAUGAGCUCCGCAAGGCGAGGCUGCCUUGCCUCUCGCCAUCAGAUUCUUCAUUAAACAAAUGAAUCACAAUCCUAAUUAAUUUGAGCAACAGAAUUUAUGUAACUACUCCCAGCAGGAUGUCUGCUCUCAGUCGGUAGCGAGAUUAAUUCCUCUCUCUGGGAAAUUCCAGCCGCGCUGGUCAAUAAAACCUUAAUGAUGACAGAAAUUUCCCAUCUGUCUCUGCCCUGAGCAGGUAACCCCUGCUACCUAGACAAGAGAGAGGACAAGGACGGUGAGAUACUGUCAUCCUGACAGUCCUGACACACCUAGGACACACACUAGGCGCCAACUAAGGACAAGACUGCCAAACCAGGCUUGUCCUGAAUUACCUACACCCCAAAGGAGGUGUUUAACUUCUAUUUGUGGAAUGAAUAAAAAGUAUGUGUUGCUCGGUGUG
rnacentral:lncRNA from 1 species